GCCUGGUUUUCGGGUGGGACGUGACGUAAUGAUUAGCCCCGAGAUUUGGUCGUCAUACCAACUGUAUGAACAAACCAAUCAGUUGGCGUAUUUGGACAAACAAUAGUUCAUUGAUAAAAGGCGCCAUUGUGCAGUUCUAUUUUUGCGAGCUACGUAACAGUUGUCGUUAGGAAGCGAGAUUUAAAGCGUGGGUUUUCUCUAUGGUGCAAAAUCAUCGAGUUUUCUGGGGCUUUCCAGAAAGGAGUUUAUGACGGAAUAGAAAUACUGUGGUCACGCGCACGGUACGCAGCUGAAAAUGCCGGCAAAAGCUUCGAGAGACCUUUGAAACGUGAAUACUCCGCGGGGACCAAAAUACACGAUACAAUGACAAUUACAUGUAAACAAGACUUACUUGAUAUGCAGCUGUGUGAUAAAUAUCGAGCUGUAUGUUUGUGUAAGUCUGUUUUGCAAUGUGGCAAAGUUUGGGACAGAAACGAGAAAAGGGACGGAAAUUUGGUCAGUCUGUGCGGUAAUGGUGACGGAUAGUUUCGUGUUAUGUGGGGUUUCCGUGUACUUCUUCCAUCCCUGUUUCUGCUGACUGGGACAUCACGUAGCACUGAAAUUCUGGGGGGGUGAUGGUGUGCUAACGGCUAUCACAUUUUUUGUCUUGCUUUCUCCAUUCUUGCUGAUUUGUCAGAAAUUCAGCCUUUUAAAUCCGUCUCCAACAUCUUCCGUUGUCAAUGUUUCCUUCUUUGUUGGUUAUUUUUCGUUUUUGCAUCUCCAGAGAUCACUUCUUUACCCACGAGUAUUCAAUACUCCCUCCCCCUGUGAGAGAAGACGCCACUCGUCUCAGGUUUACAAUAAGUGACACUCAGCUUUGUUACUGACAGCUCAGCGCACCGGAAGUCGCAUUGUUUCUUAACAAAAACAUAGGAGGGCCGUCUGCGUUUGAAACCCGAAACUGUGAUUACACAGCUCAAAAGAUUUUGGCUAAAGUUUUAUUGGCUCGAUGGUUUCUUUCAAUUUCCCAUAACACUGACCGCUUGAUAAGACAUUUGUUGAUAACGGGAUGGAGAUUUUGGCGAUAACCCCGAGUUCAGAGGGUCGAAGUUUCUUUUUUCCAGCCGCAGGCUACUACGAUCUUGAUAACAACAACCUUAAUAUCUCGCCGUCGAUUUACCCGCCUGAUUGCUUCUUCUGAGAUGUUAAACGCCUUGUGGGCAUAUUAAAAAAAUCGUAGCAAAUCUGCCAGAGCAGGCACACGUUCACUACGAAGCAGAUCUUUUUGUAACUCAAUUCUCAAUUCUUGCGAUAGACAAGUGGGUGGUCGAGCGUCGUGUCAAUUUAUUGAGGAACAAUGUGCCUUUGGAAAAACACGCAAAUUUGCUCGCGACAGUGCGCCCUAACAAGCAACAUCACGCGAUCUUGAAGGAAGCUUCAGUCGCCUGACCGCUCCGCGAAUUUAUUCUCCAACGCGAAGAAAUCAGUAGCUGGAACUCAUCAACGGAAAAGACGAUCGAGGUUGUUCGACAGAUAAAAAGAUACUAACAAAACGCCAAUCGAAGCGUGAAAAUCUGGCUAUUUCUGUCAGGCUUCUGUUUCUGUCAACUCUGCCAGCUAAAACUUAGCUAAGAAGUCAACAAUUUUAUUCAGCCUUUACUGAAAGAAGUGGGAACAUAUUUAGAUCUGGAAUCCUAGUUUCUUUGCACACUGAGAAGGGGAUAAUUGUGAAGCUCUCCUUUCGUUCGACAGAGCCGAGAUGGCUUGCAAGUGUUGUUAUAGCAACCUUAUUAUAUUCCCACGAUCCCGCGAAAACCUUAAAUCUUUUAACAAUACUCAUGAACCAACAGUAAUUGUCCAACUGUCACGAACAGGAGCUGUAGGAACAAAGGCAGGCUUCUAUACUUCUAAAUGUCUUGAAGGUUGUAAUAGAUUAUAUAACCUAAUAUUUGAGGACUCAUCAAACAGACAUCACCAGCAUUCGUUUUCCGCUUAAGACUUCAAAUUUCGCAAGUGUGGUCGUCAAAUUUUCAGUUUCUGUGAUUUCUUAGCUCUUCAUUUCUUCUUAUCGACAAACCUGCUUUGUUUCGACAGGAGUUGAUUAUCUAUAAUAUGUCUCGUCUGUCAAGUGUCGGUUUUUGAUGCCGGGUAAGAAUCAAAGAUCGGGAGAGGCAUCUUGGCAGGGAAUUGUGUUCAAUUAUCAGUUUUUGGUAUCUGGCCAAACUUCAAGUUAAUGAUCUCGCCGAGUCUAAAUGCGUCGUUGCAAACAAAUAUUGCGUUGGCAAACUCAAUAUGGCAAGGUUAAAGGUCACUCAUAACAUUAGUACACAAAGGAAAGCAUUUGGGAUCCCACACGGACAGCAACACUGAGGAGAAAAAGUUAAAUGACUCAACGAGAACCAACUUUCUUCCAUUCGUUUCCUUUUUGCGACGAAAACUGAUUGAUUACGCAAAGCAAGGAGCUUAAAAAAAACAAGCUGUGUUAACGUCCCUGGCAGCUUACAGUAUUUUGUUGAGAGCCAACGCGUGAUAAGCACUUCUCAAAGAAAACUUAUAUCACAUCUGAUAUACGGAUCCAGACAAACCUGCUUACUAACCAACCAAACAGGCCUCUUCACCGAUACUAAGUCCUCAUCUAACAAAAAACGAAUUGUUGUUAUUUUUGGCCAGGAAAAUAUUGAAUCAUGUACGGCUGUUGCAUUCAAAGUAAAGUGAAUUUCGAAAUCUUCA